UACGGAGGGUGCAAGCGUUGUCCGGAAUCACUGGGCGUAAAGGGCGCGUAGGCGGCUCAUGAAGGCUGUGGUGAAAGUCCGGGGCUCAACCUCGGAUCGGCCGUGGCGACUCGUGGGCUGGAGCACUGUAGAGGCGGGUGGAAUUCCGGGUGUAGCGGUGGAAUGCGUAGAGAUCCGGAAGAACACCAGUGGCGAAGGCGGCCCGCUGGGCAGUGGCUGACGCUGAGGCGCGACAGCGUGGGGAGCAAACGAGGGAUUG
rnacentral:rRNA from 1 species